rnacentral:rRNA from 1 species
GACGGAGGGUGCUAGCGUUGUUCGGAAUCACUGGGCGUAAAGGGCGCGUAGGCGGCCUGGCCAGUCGGCUUUGUGAAAGCCCGGGGCUCAACCCCGGAGGUGCGGCCGAGACUGCGAGGCUGGAGGCCGGAAGAGGAGGGUGGAAUACCCAGUGUAGAGGUGAAAUUCGUAGAUAUUGGGUGGAACACCGGUGGCGAAAGCGGCUCUCUGGUCCGGACCUGACGCUGAGGCGCGAAAGCGUGGGGAGCAAACAGG